rnacentral:lncRNA from 1 species
UGGGGGGGUCCAGGUGCCCCCCCAGGUGUCCCCUGUGACCCCGCCCUGCUCCCCCCAGUUCUGCCAGCUCGGGAACUUCUCCAUCCACGUGGCCCUGCGGAACCUGCGCCCCGCAGGCUCCAAGACACGGAAGAUCCCGUACCCCACCCGCAACCCCUUCACGUGGCUGUUCCUGCUCGUGUCCUGCCCCAACUACACCUACGAGGUCGGGUCCUGGAUCGGUUUCACCAUCAUGACCCAGUGUCUGCCCGUGGCCCUGUUCUCGCUGGUGGGCUUCGUGCAGAUGGCGAUCUGGGCGCAGGGCAAGCACCGCAGCUACCUCCGGGAAUUCCGGGAUUACCCUCCCCUGCGCUCGCCCAUCAUCCCCUUCCUGCUGUGACACCCGGGCCACCGGGGCCACCUGCUGUCCCCUCCCUGCUGGGACACCGGGGCCACCUGCUGUCACCUCCCUGCUGGGACACCUGGGUCACCCCCUGUCCCCUUCCUGCUGUGACACCGGGGCCACCCACUGUCCCCUCCCUGCUGGGACACCGGGGCCACCUGCUGUCCCCUCCCUGCUGGGACACCCGGGUCACCUGGGACACCCCUCGUCCCUGCUGUGACACCCGGGCCACCCGCUGUCCCCUUCCUGCUGUGACACCAGGGCCACCUGCUGUCCCCUCCCUGCUGUGACACCUGGGUCACCCCCUGUCCCUGCUGUAACACCCGGGUCAGCCCCUGUCCCCUCCCUGCUGACACCCAGGUCAGCCCCUGUCCCCUCCCUGCUGUCACACCAGGGACAGCCCUUGGGGACACUGGGAACACCCUGAUCUGUCCCCGUCAGUCCUGCCCUGAGCCUUGGGGACAGCGUGGGGACAGGGGAUACAGGCCCGUUGUCACCCCGGUGCUCACAGCAGGACACACAUUGGGGAAUGUGGCCCCUCUGUCCCUUGUCACCUCCAGGGUGCCACCCCCGUGUCCCCUCCCCGGUGGCAGUGUCCCCAGCAGGGCUGGCCCAGACCCAGGGACAGCAGUGGUGACCAAAGCCACCCCUGGUGACAAUGUGCUGU